UGAGUAAAGUAUCGGAACGUGCCCAGUCGUGGGGGAUAACGUAGCGAAAGCUACGCUAAUACCGCAUACGAUCUAUGGAUGAAAGCGGGGGAUCGCAAGACCUCGCGCGAUUGGAGCGGCCGAUAUCAGAUUAGGUAGUUGGUGAGGUAAAGGCUCACCAAGCCGACGAUCUGUAGCUGGUCUGAGAGGACGACCAGCCACACUGGGACUGAGACACGGCCCAGACUCCUACGGGAGGCAGCAGUGGGGAAUUUUGGACAAUGGGCGCAAGCCUGAUCCAGCAAUGCCGCGUGCAGGAUGAAGGCCUUCGGGUUGUAAACUGCUUUUGUACGGAGCGAAAAGGCUUCCACUAAUACUGGGGGCUCAUGACGGUACCGUAAGAAUAAGCACCGGCUA
rnacentral:rRNA from 1 species